rnacentral:rRNA from 1 species
CUACGGGUUGCAGCAGUCGCGAAUCUUUUACAAUGCACGAAAGUGUGAUAAAGCGAACCAAAGUGUUUUUCGUAUAGAAAAACUUUUGCUCACUGCAAAAAUGUGGGCGAAUAAGGACUGGGAAAGAUCGGUGCCCAGCCGCCGCGGUAAUACCGACAGUUCAAGUCGCAUCCUUUUUUAUUGGGUCUAAAACAUCCGUAGCUUGCCUACUAAGUCUCUUGUGAAAUCCUACGUCUCAAGCGUGGGGCUUGCAGGAGAUACUGGUGGGCUAGAGAUCGGUAGACGUAAGGAGUACGCCGGAGGUAGUGGUAAAAUACGUUAAUCUUCGGUGGACUAACAAUCAGCGAAGGCACCUUACGAGGACGAAUCUGACAGUGAGGGAUGAAGGCCAGGGGCGCAAAACGGAUUAGAUACCCCUGUAGUC